AGGAUUUUAGUUUAUUUUAAAACAUUUGAUUUGCAAUCAAAAAUUAUUGUGAGUCAAUUUAUCUUA
rnacentral:tRNA from 1 species